CUCCCAGCAAUAUUUGUUCCUUCCAGCAGAAGCGCCCUUGGUGGUCAUGAGCCCCAGUUGUCUGUACCGGUUCUCUGUCUUGUGUGGUCCUGCUACGGCUAAUAGAAGUCUCUUUGGGUUCCUCCACACAAAGACAUCCUGUGGACAAUAACUUACCAGGGCUGAGAUCUGGCUGCGUUCUAAUGACUUCUCUAUCCCCAGAGCCUGGAGUCCCUACUCCUGUUUAUACUGGUGACCAUUUGCCGCCUAGGUGGAAACACCUUGUCUUUUUUUAUCUUCUUCAUGUAAAGCAUUGCUGUGGAAGACAAAAUAUGAUUGCCUGCGAACCAUUUUCCUGUCCUUCUGGUUUUGGGAAGAUUUUAAUCCCCAGCCUUGCGUGCACCUGGGAGUGACAACGAAGAGAAACACACCGAGAGUAUGGGACCACAUGACUUGGUUUGGCCUUGCUGCAAAACCUUUCCCAUGAGAUCUUCCAUGCAUUCUUCAUGAAGCUGGAAGCACAGGAUUAGAACUUGGUAGCAUCACAACUGAAGGCCUGAGCCAUGAGCCAUAGUGUAGAGGCAAUCGAGAUGAAGACUCACUCCUAGGAUGUUGUGUCAGUUGUCCUUUGUACCUUUAGUGCAUCGGCAGAGGAAAGAGGGUAAAAGCUGCUUCGGGGAGCAGAGGCGGCUAGAAGGAAGGUAAACAAUAAAGACACAGAAGCAAGAUGGCAGUGGUGGAAGGGAAGAGAGAAGCCCUUGGUAUAGUGGAGCAUCAGAAAGCCUUUUCUGCCGAUGAAGCACAGAAGACAGUAGUGCCACCCAGCUGAUGAUGUCCAGUCCCAGCAACGCCACACCACACGGCACUUGCCUCCGUCCAAAUGCCCACAGGGCCUUGUAUUUGGAUGAGGGGUCCACACUUAGAACACAUGGGACCAGAUCCAUGCAGUGACUCCGACCAGGAGCAGAAAAUGGAACUGUUGAAGUGACAACAGCCAUGACCACUCACUCCCUGCUGGGCUGCACGCAGAUGGGGAACCAGAAGAGUCUUCUGUGGCUAUGUUCCAACCUGCAGAUGACAAGACUGCUCUGUGGAACCAGAACCAGGAGAAUCCAUCUCAUAGAAAAUGUGAACUUGGAGAUUC